CCCGCUGAACUUAAGCAUACCAAUAAGCGGAGGAAAAGAAACCAACAGGGAUUGCCUCAGUAACGGCGAGUGAAGCGGCAACAGCUCAAAUUUGAAAUCUGGCUCUUUCAGGGUCCGAGUUGUAAUUUGUAGAAGAUGCUUCGGGUGUGGCUCCGGUCUAAGUUCCUUGGAACAGGACGUCAUAGAGGGUGAGAAUCCCGUACGUGACUGGUUGCCUUCGCCCAUGUGAAGCUCUUUCGACGAGUCGAGUUGUUUGGGAAUGCAGCUCAAAAUGGGUGGUAGAUUCCAUCUAAAGCUAAAUACAGGCGAGAGACCGGUAGCGAACAAGUACCGUGAGGGAAAGAUGAAAAGAACUUUGGAAAGAGAGUUAAACAGUACGUGAAAUUGCUGAAAGGGAAACGCUUGAUGUCAGUCGCGUCGACCGGGGAUCAGUCUCGCUUAAUCGCUGGACGUACUUCCUGGCCGACGGGUCAGCAUCGGUUUCGACCGUCGGAAAAUGGUUCGAGGAAAGUGGCACCCCUCGGGGUGUGUUAUAGACUCGGGUCGAAUACGACGUUUGGGACCGAGGGACUCAGCACGACCUUCGGGUUCGGGGCUUAGGCUCACGUUAACGUGCUUAGGAUGCUGGCAUAAUGGCCUUAAGCGACCCGUCUUGAAACACGG
rnacentral:rRNA from 1 species